rnacentral:rRNA from 1 species
UGGUCAAGUUAUUAAGGGUGCAGGGCGGAUGCCUUGGCACUAGGAGCCGAUGAAGGACGUGAUAAGCUGCGAUAAGCUUCGGGGAGUUGCACGUAAACUUUGAUCCGAAGAUUUCCGAAUGAGGAAACUCACUUAGAGUAAUGUCUAAGUAUCAUUAAGUGAAUACAUAGCUUAAUGAGGGGAACUCAGGGAACUGAAACAUCUAAGUACCUGAAGGAAGAGAAAGAAAUUCGAUUCCGUAAGUAGCGGCGAGCGAACGCGGAUUAGCCCAAACCAAUAAAGUUUUCUUUGUUGGGGUUGCGGACAUAUCAUAACGAAGAGGUAUCGUAAUUGAAGAGGUUUGGAAAGACCCACCACAGAAGGUAAUAGUCCUGUAUGUUAAACGAGAAGACUUUAGAUAUGAUCCAGAGUACCACGGGACACGUGAAACCCUGUGGGAAGCAGGAGGGACCACCCUCCAAGGCUAAAUACUACCUAGUGACCGAUAGCGUAUAGUACCGUGAGGGAAAGGUGAAAAGAACCCCGGGAGGGGAGUGAAAUAGAACCUGAAACCCUGCACUUACAAGCUGUGGAAGCACAUUUCUUGUGUGACCGCGUACUUUUUGU